AGAAUGAACGCUGGCGGCGCGUUUAUGCAUGCAAGUCGAACGGUAAAGAAGUGCUUGCACUUCUUGACAGUGGCGAACGGGAUAGUACACGUAGGUGAUCUACCGCAGGGGUUGGGGAUACCCCAUGGAAACAUGGGGUAAUACCGAUUACACUCAUCUGGCUGUGGCCGGAUGAGGAGCUCGCGCUUCUCUGCCACCCUGCUGAUGAGCCUUCGCCCCAUUAGCUAGUUAGUAGGGUAACGGGCUACCAACGCGACGAUGGUGUGCCGGCCUGACAGGGUGAUCGGGCACGCUGCGACUGACAUACUGCCCAGACUCCUACGGGAGGCAACUAUUGCGAAUCUUCCGCAAUGCACAAACGUCUGACCGAGCUACACCACGUGGGUCCACAAGGCCGGAAGGUCUGUAACGCCCUUAACUCGUAGAAGAGUACCCCCGGGACGGAUUUCCUGUGGCAUGACGGCAGGCGACGAAUAAGUACCUGGCAAUCACGUGCCAUCCGGCUCGGUAGCACGUAUGGGACCAGCGUGGGGCGGAGAUCAUUGGGCCUUGAGGGCUCCGUAGGCCGAGACGUAAACCUGGUGUAGAAAUACCGUGUCUUUAAAGGUGUCAACCGGGGCUAUGAACUGCUUUGCUAGAGGUCAGCAGAGGGAACUGGAAUUCCAGGAGUAGCGGUGAAAUGCGCAGAGAUCGGGAAGAACACCGGCGGCGAAGGCGAGCUCCUGGCCAUGCCCUGACGCUGAGGCGCGAAAGCGUGGGGAGCGAACAGGAUUAGAUACCCUGGUAGUCCACGCUGUAAACGAUGUGCACUAGGUGUUGGGCCACGAAGGUUCAGUGCCGGAGUCAACGCGUUAAGUGCACCGCCUGGGGAGUAUGCUCGCAAGGGUGAAACUCAAAGGAAUUGACGGGGGCCCGCACAAGCGGUGGAGCAUGUGGUUUAAUUCGAUGAUACGCGAGGAACCUUACCAGGGCUUGACAUAUGCCGGAAUGUGCAGGAGACUGCGCAGCCCUUCGGGGCCGGUAUACAGGUGCUGCAUGGCCGUCGUCAGCUCGUGCCGUGAGGUGUUGGGUUAAGUCCCGCAACGAGCGCAACCCCUACCGUCUGUUGCCAGCAUUGAGUUGGGGACUCAGGCGGAACUGCCGGUGACAAACCGGAGGAAGGUGGGGACGACGUCAGGUCAUCAUGGCCCUUACGUCCUGGGCUACACACGUGCUACAAUGGCCGGUACAGAGCGAAGCAACACCGCGAGGUAGAGCAAAUCGCAGAAAGCCGGUCUCAGUUCGGAUUGGAGUCUGAAACCCGACUCCAUGAAGUUGGAAUCGCUAGUAAUCGCGCAUCAGCAUGGCGCGCUGAAUACGUUCCCGGGCCUUGUACACACCGCCCGUCACACCACCCGAGUUGGGGUACCCGAAGUCGUUUGCCUAACCUGCAAAGGAGGGCGGCGCCGAAGGUAUG
rnacentral:rRNA from 1 species